CGAAGGUGCAAGCGUUACUCGGAAUUACUGGGCGUAAAGCGUGCGUAGGUGGUUCGUUAAGUCUGAUGUGAAAGCCCUGGGCUCAACCUGGGAAUUGCAUUGGAUACUGGCGGGCUAGAGUACGGUAGAGGGUGGCGGAAUUCCUGGUGUAGCAGUGAAAUGCGUAGAUAUCAGGAGGAACAUCCGUGGCGAAGGCGGCCACCUGGACCAGUACUGACACUGAGGCACGAAAGCGUGGGAGCAAACAGGAUU
rnacentral:rRNA from 1 species